rnacentral:rRNA from 1 species
GGGCGAGACAAUCUCGGCCGUGUUCCUCGCGGCCGCGGGCGGGCAGCAGCACCCGACAACCCGCUAUCAUCCGUGCACAUUCAAACGCCUUCAAAUCUCCCCAGCGCCCGACAACAGGUCAUUCUCGAUUCCCCUCGUUAACAUCCCCCAAAUUUCACGACUUCUCCUCCCCAAAUCAAGCUCCGGCUCGCUCGGCCCCAGAUCGCGGCCGGGCUAUCCAUGGCGGGGGCGGAGGCGGUGGAGAGGGCGCACGAGCUCUACAGGGGCGGCCGCCACCGGGAGGCGCUCGAGCUCUACUCGGCGGCGCUGGCGGCGGCGCGGGGCCCCGCGCAGCGCAUCGCCCUGCACAGCAACCGCGCCGCCUGCUACCUCAAGCUCCACGACUUCCACAAGGCCGCAGAAGAGUGCACAUCUGUCCUCGAGUUGGAUACCGAGCAUGCUGGAGCUCUCAUGCUACGUGCCCAGACUCUUGUCACUCUAAAAGAUUACCAGUCGGCUCUAUUUGAUGUAAACAGGUUAAUUGAGAUAAAUCCAUCCUCUGAAGUAUAUCGGAACCUUCAUGCGCGACUGAAGACACAGCUGUCGCUAGCCCCGAUUCCAGAGUCUGAAGAGGAGUCCCUGUAUACUGAAGAAGACAAAGAAGAUCUGCCACCAAAAGACAAUACAAAGAAUGAGACUGUCGUUGUUAAGUCUGAUCAACCUUCUGCAAAAGUGAUUCUUGAAAAUAAACCUGUAAUGAAAGCUCUGAAGGUUGAAGUGCCUCCCAAUCUGCCUUCAAAACCCGAGGGUGGGGGGACCAUACAAAAACCAAAGGGCCAUUCAGAGCUUGAUUACAAGGAACCUUUAACGGAAGCUCCAAAGGUUCAAGUGUCUCCCAGUCUGCCUUCGAAACCCGAGUGUCGGGGGACCAUCCAAAAACCGAAGGGCCAUUCAGGGCUUGAUUACUCGAAAUGGGACAAAGUUGAGGAUGAUUCGAGUGAAGAUGACGAGGAUGAUGACGAAGAUGACUUGCCACGGUAUAAGUUCAAAGUCAGAACCAUCGGUGUGCGUACCGUGAAGUGAAUGGGAUUCAUCAAUAAAUAAGUUUACUCCAUGGUCUGUGGAUAGCCGUUUGACAGCAUCCCUACUAACUUUGGUCCCAUCUGUUCGGUUACAUCUUGACAUACUUGGAUGAAGUGUUGCCGAUUGGUGUUUGUUUAACUCAAGCUCACCGGCGGGUGAAGACAUAAGUACCCGCUGCUCUCAUGCUCAGGUUUAUGGAUCUGGAACCUUAGCCGAGGAAACAAGUCUGGAGUAAAAUCAUGUUUUCAGCGCAGCCGUGGGAUGGAGCACAGCAUGCAAAUCCUGGAGGGAACCCCUUUAGAUUCAAGCUAACAAUCUUAGAUUCUUAGCCCAUUGUUCAUCUUCAUAGAUUUUAUAGCCUAGCAGUCUCUGUACAUGGAUUUUGCGCAUUCAUCAUGUAUAAAAAGCUUAUUUGUCUCUGCAAAUUUGAUGCUAAUAUUUCAUGAUCCAACCAAUACUGGUUCCUUUUUUGUUCAACUGCGAUGAAUGUGCUGAUUAGUCACACAUUCACACUGUAAUCAGAAAAGUUUCUGCCAUGCUACCACAUUG